GUGAUCGGGGAUUUCUAUUGGAGAAGCAGUUUCUGCCUAUCUUCAUACAGUACUGUCUUUGACCUGACAUCUUGUAAACAUGGCGGAGACCGAACACCAUUCAGACCAUAGAAAAGGUUCUGGCUCUGUUGGGGAUUCUGGACCGCUGGAUAGAUGAGACCCCUCCUGCAGACCAGCCCUCUCGCUUUGGCAACAAGGUCUACAGGACUUGUUACGCCAAGCUGACCAGAUGAAAACGGGUCCAUUUGCUGAGCACUCCAAUCAGCUGUGGAACAUCAGUGCUGUCCCCAACUGGUCCAAAGUCAACCAGGGCCUGAUCCGAAUGUACAAGGCAGAGAAGUUCCCUGUCAUUCAGCACUUUAAGUUUGGCAGUCUCCUCUCAAUCCAGCCCGUGAAGCCCUGACGGCCAUGGAAGGAAACCCUGUGUAUGAUGGAGAGACAAAACUCCCAACAAUCCUUGUGGAUGAAUGUUCCACCCCAAUAUUAGCACACACACCAACCCCAAAGCUGCCUUUCGACAAGAAAUACCCUGCCCAAAUUGCUAAUGCUGCCACCACGAUAAUCAGUGACUUCUCCCCUGAAGUUUGAAGCGUCCAGAAAUUAUUUUUGUGUGUGUGCACGUGCGUGCGUUGCGGAAAGAUGUCAGUAAUUCUCAAUGCAAUACUGAAAGCAUGUGCACCUUUACCAGUGUGUCUAUUUAUUUCUGUAAAUGUACAAAUGCUGAUCUGGGUCAUGUUCAUUAGGCUCUAAGUGGACGAAACAGACUGAAAGAGGGAGGAACUACCUGGACUUGUCCAAUAAGAAACGCUCAUUUUCCAUUGUGUAAUAUUUUGAAACGUUUUCCAUUGCAUGCCCUAAUGAACACCACCCUGGUCUACAGGGAUAGGUGAGCCUUGUUUUAGAUAAACAUUGCAUGGACAAGCACUUGCGCUUUGCUGUGAGUGGCCUGAUGUAUAGCUCUUACCCGACACUGGUACCUUGAGUCUUUUGAUACAGAGAGGAAGGGGGUAUAAUAUAAAUGUGAUUUGUGUGUGUUUCUCUGCAUUGGAUGAUUUGAGACACUAAUUUCUUCAGCGAUUCUAAGAUUGUUUUGUUUUUGGUUUGAGUGUCCACUGAUGUUUUGGCCAAUUGUUUUCAGUUUUGUCACAUAAUGUGUCAAUGUCAUUAUUGCUUGUACGAUCGUCCAAGUCAUUAAAUAAUUAGUUAAUCA